rnacentral:rRNA from 1 species
UACAGAGGUCUCAAGCGUUGUUCGGAUUCAUUGGGCGUAAAGGGUGCGUAGGCGGCGCGGUAAGUCGGGUGUGAAAUCUCGGAGCUUAACUCCGAAACUGCAUUCGAUACUGCCGUGCUUGAGGACUGGAGAGGAGACUGGAAUUUACGGUGUAGUGGUGAAAUGCGUAGAGAUCCGGAGGAACACCAGUGGCGAAAGCGGCCACCUGGACUGCACCUGACGCUGAAACGCGAAAGCUAGGGGAGCGAACGGG